UGUAUAAUGGGUCAGCGACUUAUAUUCUGUAGCAAGGUUAACCGAAUAGGGGAGCCGAAGGGAAACCGAGUCUUAACUGGGCGUUAAGUUGCAGGGUAUAGACCCGAAACCCGGUGAUCUAGCCAUGGGCAGGUUGAAGGUUGGGUAACACUAACUGGAGGACCGAACCGACUAAUGUUGAAAAAUUAGCGGAUGACUUGUGGCUGGGGGUGAAAGGCCAAUCAAACCGGGAGAUAGCUGGUUCUCCCCGAAAGCUAUUUAGGUAGCGCCUCGUGAAUUCAUCUCCGGGGGUAGAGCACUGUUUCGGCAAGGGGGUCAUCCCGACUUACCAACCCGAUGCAAACUGCGAAUACCGGAGAAUGUUAUCACGGGAGACACACGGCGGGUGCUAACGUCCGUCGUGAAGAGGGAAACAACCCAGACCGCCAGCUAAGGUCCCAAAGUCAUGGUUAAGUGGGAAACGAUGUGGGAAGGCCCAGACAGCCAGGAUGUUGGCUUAGAAGCAGCCAUCAUUUAAAGAAAGCGUAAUAGCUCACUGGUCGAGUCGGCCUGCGCGGAAGAUGUAACGGGGCUAAACCAUGCACCGAAGCUGCGGCAGCGACGCUUAUGCGUUGUUGGGUAGGGGAGCGUUCUGUAAGCCUGCGAAGGUGUGCUGUGAGGCAUGCUGGAGGUAUCAGAAGUGCGAAUGCUGACAUAAGUAACGAUAAAGCGGGUGAAAAGCCCGCUCGCCGGAAGACCAAGGGUUCCUGUCCAACGUUAAUCGGGGCAGGGUGAGUCGACCCCUAAGGCGAGGCCGAAAGGCGUAG
rnacentral:rRNA from 1 species